rnacentral:tRNA from 1 species
GGUUGGGGCUCAGUGGUAGAGCGCGCGCCUUGCACGUGUGAGACACUGGGUUCUAUCCUCAGCACCA